UGAGGACAAUCUUGUAAAUCAGAACUUCCUGUUUGAUCGGGCGUCGUGGCUUCAACUGGUUGGGAAUUUGAUGGAUUUGUUGCCGAUGAUGCAGCAAACCACGCAAGAAAAAAAAACUUGAAACCCGCUUUUGUUACAUUUAUUCGGCGCUCUCGAUACGCAAACUAUCUGUGAUGAAGUAAACCUGCUACACUGAAUUUUGCUGCUAUGGUGAGACGAAUAUCAACUACAUGCUUGCUUAUCUUUGGAUGGCUAUAUGUACACUUUUGAACCACCACCCUUUUUUGUUUUGAACUCUCAAAACAUUUUUAUUAAAUGCACAUUGUAUAUUUGUAUAUUCAUUACGUUUUACCAUUAAAUAAAUAUUCGUUAUCUGCAUUAUGUAUAUUUCUCGUUCUCGUCCUUUGAAAUAUUUAAAUACAAUCAGUGUGCAAUAAGAUAU